GUCUACUGCCGUACCACCCUGAACACGCCCAAAUUCAUCUGAAAAGCAGGGUCUGGCCUGGUUAGUACUUGGAUGGGAGGCCACCUGGAAAUACCAGGUGCUGUAACCU
rnacentral:rRNA from 1 species